AACACGAAUGGGUUUCUUAGAAUUUUGAGGACUUAUGUUUAAUUGACAUAGGCAUGAUAAAUUGACAUAGGCAUGAUAAUAAACACAUAUUAAAGCAACAAGAAACGUCUAGGCCCUAGCCUAGCGGUGUUCGUGAACGUUUUAUGAAUGGUUCAGUGAUACACAGUAGGCCCUAGUUAGCAUGUAUUAUAUGGUCUACUAUUUAUAGUCAAAUCAAUAAUUAUUUUAUUGUUUGUAGAACUUCGUGUUUCUGACACGUUUUGUCUUCCAACCUAACGAAUAUGGCGAAAUGGACUACACUUUCACAUAUCCAACGACCGAAUGUUGCUACCAAAUGCUCAUAUUCAAUGAUGAACCGAAACAAUGGCCAUACAUCAGAGAACAUGAGGACCAACUGGAUUGCUUUGACAGGAAAGAGUUGAUUCCUAGUUACUACAAUGGCAAAGUGACCCUCAGUACCUCUCAGAAUGGACCUUUCCGCUAAGCCCCGCCCAUUGGAUAUUGUUGCUAAGGUCCCACAAGACGACAGUGUUAAAACAUACGCGAACACGUGCGUUUGUGGGACAACACGUGUGUUUGUAAGACGCGCGCGUAUCCCUAGCGUUGUUCUGAUUAGUCAGUUGUUAAGUUUGAUUGACACUCCGGAAAGGUCUAUUGUGAGAUACGGAUCAAUUAUAACACUGGACAAGGGGAAUUUUACUGUCACGGUAAACGUCACUUUGACGUCACCAAGGAACGUUGGUGGUACAUUGCCAUCGCACAUUGCGGUGGAGAUGGAAUUAACAGCUUCAAGUACAACAUCGAUUUGUAUAAUGGCAAGACAGCAUUUGACCGCCACUUCUCAGCUGACGAACGAUAGGUGAUGCUCCAGCGCCAAAUGUUAAACAGCACUUACCGACUAUUUUGCUACUCCUGCUACCUGCAGACAAUCAGCCUUCUUUUCCAGACAAUUGCUCUAGGAAAGUUUGCCAAUAAUGGUGUUGGAAUUGAACCCCUACGAA